GAUACAGUAGGAUUUCCAACGCAUCUUGGGCAGGUGAAUGCAGCACUGACCCGAGUGACUGGAGCAGAAUCACGCUGGCUGGCGCUCUUUUUGGUGGUCAUUUUUGAUUAAAUGCCAACGUCUCGGCGACGUAUUGACAAUGAGGAAACACUCUCCCUACAACAUCAGGGCGACGUACGUUUGGUGACUGUCAUAGGUUUGUGAAAAAAUAUGAAAUUGAGAUUUCCGCCCGCUACCAGCGACACGCGUUUGUAUACUGGUCACGAGAGAGCUGGAGUUUGUCCCAGCUGACUUUGGGCGAGAGGCGCUAUACACCCUGGACUUGUUGCCAGGGUUGCGGGUGUGCUGGAGCCUAUCCUGGUGUAGCGGACAUGCCACGCAAAAGAUGCCACCCGGCACCCCAGCCUCGUAAUACCGCCGCUCCCCGCCGAGGUAGACGUUAACUCCAGAGUCACACGCCGACUCUAAACGGAUAAUAAUAAACAACAAACAAUAAACUAUCUUCAACGAGACACAUACAUUUGCUUUGCCAUGCCGACGCUAAGUGAAUCACGUCUGCCUGGGACUUUCAAAGCAGAGACCCAAGGAUGCUGGGUUCAACAGUGAGACCCAUGGGCGACGGAAUGACAUUACAGACAUGGGUUCAUAAGACAGUCUGUGACUCGACUGGGAGUCAAUAUUUUAAGAACUUUACAUGAACGCCAAAAGGCAGUUCAGCCCCUCGGUGUUCGCAAAGGUGGAAGAAAAGGAGGGGAGGGGGUAACCCCCCCAUUUUGACCCGCUCCGGCCAUUUUUAUGGCCGGAGCUGGGAGAAGUAGAGAAGUUUUUGGAGUCUUGGUGGAGUCUUUUUUUUGGUCACCCCGACCAACUCGCCGACAACCGCGCCAGGCAGGACGUCCAGCUCUCCCGAGGUGGCAAGGACACAUCGGAGAAUCCCCGGCUGCAGCUUCCUGCAAGCGCUCCGAGCCACCCUGCUUGGGGGCCCGAACUCAGUCUGAGGGAACGUAGGCAGACGCAACGCGCGCGCUCCGAACGUCACCCGAGAGACGCCCUGUUUUUCCUCCAUCCCUUCCGUCAAAUCCACCUGCUCACGGUGCGGACCGAAACGUGUUCCAGACACAUAAGUCCAACAUGGCUAAUCCGUACAUAUUUGGGUUUAUAUUAACGAGACCAGGAGUCCUCAGCUAUAUGCAUUCACUACACGUCCAUACUGGUCAUCUCACGUCACAAAUCCCUUCCUUUGCCAAUGUUCGUAGAUACCUUGUUUGUUUUGUGUUUGUCUGUAUUUUAACCUGU